GAUGAACGCUGGCGGCGUGCCUAAUACAUGCAAGUCGAGCGAACAGACGAGGAGCUUGCUCCUCUGACGUUAGCGGCGGACGGGUGAGUAACACGUGGAUAACCUACCUAUAAGACUGGGAUAACUUCGGGAAACCGGAGCUAAUACCGGAUAAUAUAUUGAACCGCAUGGUUCAAUAGUGAAAGACGGUUUUGCUGUCACUUAUAGAUGGAUCCGCGCCGCAUUAGCUAGUUGGUAAGGUGACGGCUUACCAAGGCAACGAUGCGUAGCCGACCUGAGAGGGUGAUCGGCCACACUGGAACUGAGACACGGUCCAGACUCCUACGGGAGGCAGCAGUAGGGAAUCUUCCGCAAUGGGCGAAAGCUUGACGGAGCAACGCCGCGUGAGUGAUGAAGGUCUUCGGAUCGUAAAACUCUGUUAUUAGGGAAGAACAAAUGUGUAAGUAACUAUGCACGUCUUGUCGGUACCUAAUCAGAAAGCCACGGCUAACUACGUG
rnacentral:rRNA from 1 species